UGCUACUUGUCGGAGUGCCAUAAGGCUGAGACCGUUAACUCGGGAUCCGUUGAACCUGAUCAGGCUAAUACCUGCGAAAGGGAACAAGAGUAGAGAUUUU
rnacentral:ncRNA from 2 species